rnacentral:rRNA from 1 species
AAUAGCCUAACGGCUGAACCAGCAACUUGGAGGAAUGUAUAGCUACGGCUAAUUGUGUAUAACUACACGAUAUCGACUCUGUCGAAUAAAAUUCUGGAUAAAUUAUGAUAAUGACAUUUUUUACCCAUGUGUCUUGACCAAAUUGUGUGCCAGCAGUCGCGGUAAUACAUAGAAGACUAGUGUUAUUCAUCUUUAAUAGGUUUAAAGGGUACCUAGACGGUAGAUCAAGCCCUAGACGGGACUAAUUUGCUAGAGUUACUUAUGAGGGGGCUUUAAAGUACUAAUGGUGUAGAGAUAAAAUUUUGUAAUACCAUUUUUCGUAAAGAAAAGUUAUGGCACUGGUAAAGGUGAAAGCAUCCCCCUAUGUGAUAA